rnacentral:rRNA from 1 species
UACGGAGGAUGCAAGCGUUAUCCGGAUUUAUUGGGUUUAAAGGGUGCGUAGGCGGAUAUGUAAGUCAGCGGUGAAACUCACAGGCUCAACCUGUGCCGUGCCGUUGAAACUGUGUAUCUGGAAUGCGGAUGCUGUGGGAGGAAUGUGUAGUGUAGCGGUGAAAUGCAUAGAUAUUACACAGAACACCGAUUGCGAAGGCAUCUCACAAAGCCGUUAUUGACGCUGAGGCACGAAAGUGUGGGGAUCAAA